rnacentral:rRNA from 1 species
GACGAACGCUGACGGCGUGCUUAACACAUGCAAGUCGAAGGGAGUGGCGAACGGGUGAGUAACACGUGAGUAACCUGCCCUUGUCUUUGGGAUAAGCCUGGGAAACUGGGUCGAAUACUGGAUGGGUUGGGAUGGGAUGGCGGCUUAUCAGCUUGGUGGUGGGGGGCUGGCUGACCAAGGCUUUGACGGGUAGCCGGCCUGAGAGGGUAGUCGGUCACUCUGGGACUGGGGUACGGCCCAGAGUACUAAGGGAGGCAGCAGUGGGGGUAAUUGGAGAAUGGACGAAAGUCUGAUGCAGCGACGGCGUGUGGGGGAUGAAGGCCUUCGGGUUGUAAACUCCUUUCGCCCGCGGAAUGGUAGUGGGUAAAGAAGCGCCGGCUAACUACGUGCCAGCAGCCGCGGUAAUUC